UACAGAGGUCUCAAGCGUUAAUCGGAAUUACUGGGCGUAAAGGGUGCGUAGGUGGUUAUGUAAGUUAGGUGUGAAAUACCCGGGCUUAACCUGGGGACUGCGCCUGAUACUGUGUGACUAGAGUACUGUAGAGGAAGGUGGAAUUUCCGGUGUAGCGGUGAAAUGCGUAGAUAUCGGAAGGAACAUCGGUGGCGAAGGCGACUUUCUGGACAGCUACUGACACUGAGGCACGAAAGCAUGGGGAGCAAACAGG
rnacentral:rRNA from 1 species